rfam:Triticum aestivum genome assembly, contig: Triticum_aestivum_CS42_TGACv1_scaffold_602573_7DL
CAAGUACUCCCUUCGUCCAAAAAAGCUUGUCCCUCAAAUGAAUGUACCUAGCACCAAGUUAGUGCUAGAUACAUCCAUUUGAACCAUUCGGGGGACAAUUUUUCCGGACGGAGGGAGUAUGUG